AAAAUCGCGUGCGCGCACAUCCGCCGCGUCAUCCCCCAGAGACGCGACAGUCUCCACUCAUUCGCUCAGUGCCGCCGGCACCGUUGUCGUAGUAAGUGUCAUCAUGCAGCUCGCCCCACCAUUCAGCAGGGUUGCGCGGCAGUUGCAGGAACCCCAUAACCUCUCUCCCCUUCUUGGGCGACGUGCAUGCGCCGCACCCGUAGCUGCGGCGUCGCCUUCGGCCUUCUGCACAGCGCGUCGAUGCCUCUCUCAGCAAGCAAGCCACUGGCUGAACAAACUGCGCUACGGCGCCGAUGAUGCGCCGACGAUGGGGUCGUGGGACAGCGCCUACGAGGACGACGCCAUGGACACACGCAAGCUCUACUGCAAAGCCCUCGUGCACGCCUCCGGCGGGAGCCGCCUGGCGCGCGACUGGAUCGCCGGAUGCGCUGCUCUCACCAGCCCCGACCCAUCCCUCAUCUACACAGCGCUGCAGCACGCCGCGACGGAGGCGGAUGUGGAGGAGCUGCGAGAGCACAUUCUUGGGCGUCUGCUCGGGCAGGAAAGCCCCAGGCGAGGCGGCCGCAGUGGCGGCUCGCGCGACAACGAAGUGCGGACGAACUUUGGCAUGUGUGCAGAAAGCGAGAAGGAGGUGGUGGUACCCGGCACAGGCAACGUUGCGGCUGAGCGAGCCGUAGCACCGAACUGCGCGGGGCAACCCAGCAUCCAUGAGCGCGAUGGCGAGGAUGGCGCAAGUGAGGCCGCUUCACCGUCGAUCACCUCAGAGGGUAUUCGCGAUGCCGAGCACUACCUCCUCCAGCGCUCGCGAGAGGUGCGCUGCUUCAUGUACGACGCCAUGACCGCCAGCCUCUUCCAUAGCAAUAACGACCUGCGCACGGUCGAGGCGGCGCGGCGACACACCUUCUGGAUCGGCUUGGCCCAAUUCGGUCUUUCCUUCGACGAGUUGACGGCGCUCUGGCGCCUAGUGGAGGCGGAGCUGCUGCUGAAGAAGGAGAAGAUCAAAGUGCUUGGGCAGCCGUGGGGCGAGUAGUGGCGCGUGUCGCGUCGCCUGUCCCUGGAGGCUUUCGAGCUGCGCCAAAAACCGAUCUUCUCGCACCCGCCCUCUCUCUAUCCGUGUGUGUGUGUGUGUGUGUGUGUACGCGCGCGCCUCCACGCUCUUUAAGAUCCCUCUCACUUCACUGUACACGCUGCACGUGCGCAUCUGCCCAGCAGCAACCGUUCACGAAGACGCAC
rnacentral:misc_RNA from 1 species